rnacentral:rRNA from 1 species
AUAUCAAUAAGCGGAGGAAAAGAAACCAACAGGGAUUGCCCUAGUAACGGCGAGUGAAGCGGCAACAGCUCAAAUUUGAAAUCUGGCCUCUUCGGGGCCCGAGUUGUAAUUUGCAGAGGGUGCUUUGGUGUUGGCUGUGAUCUAAGUUCCUUGGAACAGGACGUCUUAGAGGGUGAGAAUCCCGUACGUGGCCGCCAGUCUCCACCGUGUAAAGCCCCUUCGACGAGUCGAGUUGUUUGGAGAUGCAGCUCUAAAUGGGAGGUAUAUUUCAUCUAAAGCUAAAUACUGGCCAGAGACCGAUAGCGCACAAGUA